rnacentral:rRNA from 1 species
CUCAGGACGAACGCUGGCGGCGUGCUUAACACAUGCAAGUCGAGCGGUAAGGCCUUUCGGGGUACACGAGCGGCGAACGGGUGAGUAACACGUGGGUGAUCUGCCCUGCACUCUGGGAUAAGCCCGGGAAACUGGGUCUAAUACCGGAUAUGACUGUCCCAUGCAUGUGGGGUGGUGGAAAGAUUUAUCGGUGCAGGAUGGGCCCGCGGCCUAUCAGCUUGUUGGUGGGGUAAUGGCCUACCAAGGCGACGACGGGUAGCCGACCUGAGAGGGUGACCGGCCACACUGGGACUGAGACACGGCCCAGACUCCUACGGGAGGCAGCAGUGGGGAAUAUUGCACAAUGGGCGGAAGCCUGAUGCAGCGACGCCGCGUGAGGGAUGAAGGCCUUCGGGUUGUAAACCUCUUUCAGCAGGGACGAAGCGUGAGUGACGGUACCUGCAGAAGAAGCACCGGCUAACUACGUGCCAGCAGCCGCGGUAAUACGUAGGGUGCGAGCGUUGUCCGGAAUUACUGGGCGUAAAGAGUUCGUAGGCGGUUUGUCGCGUCGUUUGUGAAAACCCGGGGCUCAACUUCGGGCUUGCAGGCGAUACGGGCAGACUUGAGUGUUUCAGGGGAGACUGGAAUUCCUGGUGUAGCGGUGAAAUGCGCAGAUAUCAGGAGGAACACCGGUGGCGAAGGCGGGUCUCUGGGAAACAACUGACGCUG